rnacentral:lncRNA from 1 species
AUGCAAUUAACGAAACAGUUACAGAAAGACCCAGAUCUGUUCUUUUUCCUAGUGACCAUGGGUGGAAGUCCUACUGUACUGGUGUGCUGCUCCUUUUCCCAGAGAUCUGCCAUUUUUCUGCACUGGCAGAAAAGUAUGGAAAAGGAACACCAGAAAAGCAUUACAAUCUGCAGAAAAUGCAAGAUGGUGGAGUGGAAGAAUUGUGGAUAUACAUGGACAGUAUCCCAGAACGGAGAUGGAAGAAACAGCAGAGUAUGCAGGCAAGUAAAUUAAAAACAUGCUAGAAAAAUUUUGGCGAUCUGACUUGACUGUCAGCAACUGCUCUUCAGGUUAGUUGUUAAGUAGAAAUUACAAAUUUUCCUUAUUUUUCAGCUGUUUAUCUAGUUUGUCUCAGCACAUUUGACUUCAGGUACUAGUGAUAAAAAAAAAAAGAGGAAUAUCAACAUAAUAGCUUCCAUUUUCUUUUGAAAUGUAAUUUCCUCCCUAUUUUCUCAGUGACCUGGAGCUACUCCUUUAAACACGCUUGGCUUCAAAAUGUAAAACAAUUUAUUUUUCUGUCGAGAUAGUGAGGGAUUUAGAUAUGAAGUAAUGCAUCCUUAUGCUUUGCAGCUAAUACCAAUUUCCUGCUUUCUCCUGAUAUUUUGAUAUCUCUGCUUACCGUGGUCAUCUCUGUACGCAAGUUACAAAACACCGAAGCAACAUAAAGACAAAUUAUAACAGAGCAAUAGCACGUUAGAUAGAGCAAGUCACAAAAACAAUGCCAGCCUCUGAGAAGUCUCUAUUUACAGAGCUUCCCUAUGGUCCUUUCUGAAGCAAUUAACAGAUUCUAGGGCAACAGAUACAGUUCCUUCCAACCGAUACCAGCCGCUCUCUCAGUUCUGCAGCCAUACUACUUUUAUCUGCCUAUGUGAUACUAAAUGUGCAUGCACACUUAGUUUACUGAACACAGCAAAGGAGAAAUAGGUUCCAAUGAUUUUUAAGUAAUGGUCAGUAGGAAGGAGAAAAUGAAGUGCUUUUGAAUGGGUGCAAUAUUGUAUUAUUAUUCCAUUGUUAUUUGAAUAUUUUUAGUUGUUACUUGGCCUUGGAAAUUAUACAAUAUAUAUAUAUAUGUUUCAAAGAUGGCUAAGAGGACACGUCAGAAAAUACAUCCAUAGGUCUUUGCAGGGUUUGUUAGUACACAUAUAUUAGCUGUUUUAUAUACAAAGGCAUUCAGAUGUAUUUUCCUUCACUUUUAUCAGUGUAUCAGUUUUCCAGUUAAUGUAUUGUUUCAAUUAAGUAUAACGCAGUAAGAAGUAGAAGGUGACUUUGUUGUCUAAGUGACUGGAAUGAUGGCUAAAAUCCGGCAGCUGCACCAUUUCUUUCUAAACCAAUCCCAAAUUCAAUUAAAAUUCUAUUUUGGGGGCACAAGUAAUAAUCUGUGAUAAUUGCAUUACAGUAAUUUAAACUACACAGUUUUUAAUCUCAUGUAAUUUAAAUGCAUCCGAGGAAGACAGCUUGAGCUACAAAUUUUGUUUCCUAAUAUUGGAAGUAAUGUAUGUAAAUGGAAACUAAAUUAUAAUACUUUGCUUCACAUUACUUUUAUGGCUAUGUAAUGCUCUCAGAUUGCUAUUCCUCGAACUAUACUAAGAAUUUAAAAAAUUGCCAUUUAACAUGAUUAGCACUGUUAUUUGUUUGAGUCCUCAUAAUUCUAGAAACAUUUAGGUUUUUAUUUUGUCUAUCAAUUAAAAGAAGAAGAAUAAAUAUUAGGGAAACCAGUGCA